GACGAACGCUGGCGGCGUGCUUAACACAUGCAAGUCGAACGAUGAACCCGGAGUUUGCUCCGGUGGAUUAGUGGCGAACGGGUGAGUAACACGUGAGUAACCUGCCCUUGACUCUGGGAUAACUGCGGGAAACUGUAGCUAAUACCGGAUACGACCCUCGGCGGCAUCGCCAGGGGGUGGAAAGAAUUUCGGUCAAGGAUGGACUCGCGGCCUAUCAGCUAGUUGGUGAGGUAACGGCUCGGCAAGGCGACGACGGGUAGCCGGCCUGAGAGGGUGAGCGGCCACACUGGGACUGAGACACGGCCCAGACUCCUACGGGAGACAGGAGUGGGGAAGAUUACACAAUGGGCGCAAGCCUGAUGCAGCAACGCCGCGUGAGGGAUGACGGCCUUCGGGUUGUAAACCUCUUUUAGUAGGGAAGAAGCGAAAGUGACGGUACCUGCAGAAAAAGCACCGGCUAACUACGUGCCAGCCGCCGCCGUAA
rnacentral:rRNA from 1 species